rnacentral:rRNA from 1 species
AGUGAACGCUGGCGGUAGGCCUAACACAUGCAAGUCGAACGGCAGCACAGUAAGAGCUUGCUCUUACGGGUGGCGAGUGGCGGACGGGUGAGGAAUACAUCGGAAUCUACUUUUUCGUGGGGGAUAACGUAGGGAAACUUACGCUAAUACCGCAUACGACCUACGGGUGAAAGCAGGGGAUCUUCGGACCUUGCGCGAUUGAAUGAGCCGAUGUCGGAUUAGCUAGUUGGCGGGGUAAAGGCCCACCAAGGCGACGAUCCGUAGCUGGUCUGAGAGGAUGAACAGCCACACUGGAACUGAGGAACGGUCCAGACUCCUACGGGAGGCAGCAGUGGGGAAUAUUGGACAAUGGGCGCGAGCCUGAUCCAGCCAUACCGCGUGGGUGAAGAAGGCCUUCGGGUUGUAAAGCCCUUUUGUUGGGAAAGAAAAGCAGCAGGUUAAUACCCCGCUGUUCUGACGGUACCCAAAGAAUAAGCACCGGCUAACUUCGUG